rnacentral:misc_RNA from 1 species
AACACUGUUAACCUGCGGUACCUGCGGAAGGAUCAUUACAGAGUGUAAAAACUCCCAAACCCCUGUGAACGUACCUGUCGUUGCUUCGGCGGAUCGCCCCGGGCGCUGCAAGGUGCCCCGGAGUCAGGCGCCCGCCGGAGGACCACAAACUCUUGUUUUAUACCGGAAUUCUCUGAGUGGCAUGUCUCAUGCAAAAACAAAAUGAAUCAAAACUUUCAACAACGGAUCUCAGAUCGGAAG